AGUGGUUCUACCCUAUGGUAG
rnacentral:miRNA from 1 species